rnacentral:rRNA from 1 species
GACGAACGCUGGCGGCGUGCUUAACACAUGCAAGUCGAACGGAAAGGCCCUGCUUUUGUGGGGUGCUCGAGUGGCGAACGGGUGAGUAACACGUGAGUAACCUGCCCUGUACUUUGGGAUAACUUCAGGAAACUGGGGCUAAUACCGGAUAGGAGCUCCUGCUGCAUGGUGGGGGUUGGAAAGGUUCGGCGGUUGGGGUUGGACUCGCGGCUUAUCAGCUUGUUGGUGGGGUAGUGGCUUACCAAGGCUUUGACGGGUAGCCGGCCUGAGAGGGUGACCGGCCACAUUGGGACUGAGAUACGGCCCAGACUCCUACGGGAGGCAGCAGUGGGGAAUAUUGCACAAUGGGCGGAAGCCUGAUGCAGCAACGCCGCGUGCGGGAUGACGGCCUUCGGGUUGUAAACCGCUUUCGCCUGUGACGAAGCGUGAGUGACGGUAAUGGGUAAAGAAGCACCGGCUAACUACGUG